UGAUUUUGUUACAUAAAAACACAUUGAUUCAGAAAAGGACAAAAGCAAUGUAGGUCCACAGCGAUUAAAACAUCACUAGGCCGGGUGCAGUGGCUCAUGCCCGGUGAGCACAUCAUGCCCGGUGAUGUAAUCCCAGCACUUUGGGAGGCCAAGGCGGUCCAUGCUUUUAGCAAUCACUUAUGUGUAGAGAACUUUUCCACAUCUCCUGUAUUUAUUCAAUCAACAGGAAUUAGCUUAGCAGCAUAACCCAAAGACUUAUCAUUUAUGUUGCCUUAUGACUGAUAGUGCUAAUAAGUAACUAAGUCCUAUGAUCCUAUUAAGAAUUUUACAACAAAGAGGGGCUUGAGUGACCUAAAUAAAAAUCAGUGCCAAAUAAUAAUUUUCGAAGUAUGCCACAUUCUCAAGAGGUGUCCAUCUAUGGGGUGAUACUUGGGUAGGGGGAAUAAAGUCCACUUCUGAAUUGUGGGUAACAAACACAAGUCCAAAAGUGCACAGGCAGGCAGCUUGUACUUACCUUAAUAGAUGCAUACUUUGGAAGUGAACAGCAUUGAAGCAUUAGGGCUUUCUAUACUCCAGUGGCAGGGUGGGCCUUACAAAACUGUAGGGCCUUCACCUAAGACAAAGAUAACACUUUUGUGUUUGCAGUAACUCAUGGACACUUUGGACUUAGUUUCUAAGGGGCUUAUCCCUUCUCCAUCCAGUGUUUCUGGACUUCUUCCUGGAGUAAGGACCUUGGGAAGAAGCCUUUGUUCCUGUCUGUAACCCCUAUUUAGUGCACUGAUUGGGGUGCUUAGCACAAUCACACAUAACAAAGGGAAAUAAUGCCACUAAAAAGAAAGAUUGUUCUGAUUCAAUAUUUGAGAAAAUUUCAUUCAAGAUAUUUUGAAGUCACAGAAGAGAAGUUGGACUUUGUAUAUUUAUCAAAACAAUUUGUCCUGGGCUCAGUGUCGGUAAUAUUAAUAUGUCCUUUUUUAUUUUUAUUUUUUAUUUUUAUUUUUGAGAUGGAGUUUCGCUGUUGUUGCCCAGGCUGGAGUGCAAUGGCGUGAUCUUGGCUCACCACAACCUCUGCCUCCUGGGUUCAAGCAAUUCUCCUGCCUCAGCCUCCCGAGUAGCUGGGAUUACAGGCAUGUGCCAGCAAUGCCUGGGGCCCACCCAGGGCGGAAAACCGCUUAAAGGCAUUCUUAAUCCACAAACAAUAGCAUGAGCAAUCUGUGCCUUAAGGACAUGCUCCUGCUGCAGAUAACUAGCCCAACCCAUCCUUUUAUUUCGGCCCAUCCCUUUGUUUCCCAUAAGGAAUACUUUUAGUUAAUCUAUAAUUGAUUAAAACAAUGCUUAUCACUGGCUUGCUGUCAAUAAAUACAUGGGUAAAUCUGUUUGAGGCUCUCCGCUUUGAAGGCUG
rnacentral:lncRNA from 1 species